CACCUGAGGAAGCAAGGAGUAUCACCCACACCCAAGGAAGCAGAGAAUAUCACCCACACCUGAGAAAGUAAGGAAUAUUAAGCACACACAAGGAAGCAAGGAGCUCUGAAAAACUAUCUACUUGGGAUAAAUAUUUCAGCUUGUGUUCCCAAAUGGGAGUUACAACUGUACUACAUCUAAGCCUAUAGCAUGAAAGCUGGAUCACUGAUGGAUAGUUCAGCGUUAUCCCUCAUAGCACUAUUCAUGGUCUGCAUCAAACGAACUGAUACGACUGCUGUAAAAGUUCACAUUGAAUAUCUGGACGAUGUAUUUACCCCAAGGACUCAAUGCAUCAUUAGGGAAGCUGUGGAACUUAUCUCAAGACUGCUAACCCUCCGUGAUGAUCCAAGAAGCAUCAAGUUUCACGUUCCCAGAGAGAGGAGGGCCUGUGCCUCCCUGUUCUAUGAUGGGCCCAAUGCAGGGAAGUGUGGCCAGCUGUCCCAAGGCUACACAGGGGCCGAGUGGUGUGGUGCGGCAAAAAUACCAGCGGCUCACCUUAAGGGGCUUCAGGUGUUUGGCUAUAAGGACACAGAACCCCUGCCAGAGUCAUUACAGGAGGGAUAUGGGUUUACUGAUGGUACGAACUUUGUGUUAUAUCUGACGGCGAGGGAGAGCCAGCUGUGUACCUCCUCCCUCGCUCACUCCAGGGUGUGCCGGAGGGAUGAGGCCAUGGUGGGAGGGAUGGCCAGUGGACGCCCAGUGGCUGGUGUGGUUAAUGCCUGCUGGAAGGAAGGAGAAAAAGGAGAAACUGAGGAUAUCUUAAUUAGAAGAGUAAUUUUUCAUGAGCUGAUGCAUCUCAUGGUCAUGAAUUACAGGAGCAUGAGGGAGUUUGUGGAGUGUGAGGGCAGAAGAAGAUCAAGGAUGUGCUGGAAGGUGCAGGAAGCAGUUAAAGUUGUAAAUGACAAAGUUGUGGUUUGGUCAAGGCACUUUAGGAAGGCUAUCAGACAGCAAGUUUGUGAAGAUGUAGGACACUGUCAAUUUUAUAGUGACUCCUGUGGCUGUUCUCACGAAGGCUGUUGUGUCCUGCAAGAUGGCAUGGCUGUUGAAAAUGUGACCAGGAGUGUAGACUUGCAUGGAGGAGUUGUCUUGGCAAAGUCUCGUACUGGUGUUCAUUGGCCCCCAGAGCUGUUUGCUAAUUCUACCUCUGUAAUGGUUCCUCGGUAUAUGGAGUCAGGUUGCAUCAUACUUGAUCCCCUGACACUAGCUCUCCUCAAAACUUCAGGCUGGUACUUGGUCAACUGUAGUGCCCUCCCCUGCAUUAAUUGCUUCUUGAUCAGCAACCCCUAUGUGUGUUCACUCACCUGCAGUGUUUUGGAGAAGAAUAAUAGUUCCACGAAUGAAGAUAUUGCUCAUCCGGAUGGGGAAGUAAUGAAUACUAAGGAAACAUUAUCCAUUACUAAUGUGAAAGUUUCUCAAGAUAGUAAAUUGUUUAGUGCCUCAGAGGAUGAGUCAGGUGAUGAGACACUCCAUUCCACCGGGAGAUUUGACACACACACUCAAGUGGCUGUGCAGACCAGAGGCCACAAUGACAGUGAAGUUUCUCCAGAUCUAAAGUCUGAUGCAUCACUGUGUUUUCCCUCAUGUGUUUUGCUGAUCAUAAUUCAAAUUUUUGUUUUUUUUGUUUAGAGAGCAAUUAAGGUUGGUGGGCAGGCCAGGCUGGAAGGAGGGCCUUCACCACGUCCAUCCCAGCGCUGACUGACACACAGCUUGCUGAAGCGCCUCAGGAAGCACUUGAAACAGAUUAUGCCUCAGAACAUAUGAAGAGAAUACUGAAAU